CCUUCCCUCUUUAUCCCUCUGUAUUCAUUCCACUUUGAGCUAGGUUUCAAAAAACCCAAAACAACACUUCUGAAUCUCACUUUCUGACUGAAACACAUAUCACACAGUCACGUCUUUGCAUAAAAAUCCAAUUCCUAUUCAAGAAACACAAAUCUCUCACAAGAAACACAGAUCCUACGGUUGUGGUUGAUUUUUAGCUAUUGAAGGAAGGGGUGCUGUUGAUUCCGGCGUAAUUAAGUCGGAGCAAACACUUUAACCGACAAACAAUCAGCAGACAUACGUGUCUGCCUGGCCCACCAUGGUGCGGUCCGAGCUAGCGAGCUGAUCCAACCACGAGACGAGUUGAGAAGCACUAUGACCCAAAUCAAAAGCGACGUCCACGCAAUUGGUAAAAAAUGUCAGAAAACUCCACCGUCAAGGAAAAAACCAAACCAACUCCGUCACCAAGGCAAUGGUGUUAGCUGCCAUCGCCCUUGCUGCUAUUUUUACGGUUCCCGGUGGGUACAACGAUGAUGGGCUGGCGGUAGUGGCCGACUUGACGUCAAUCAAAAUCUUCUAUCUUUUCAACGCGAUGGCUCUUUAUACGUCUUUAGCGGUUGUGGUGAUUCAUAUGACGUUGGGAAUUAGAGGUGAGAAGAAAGCCAAAAAAGACAAGUGGUUUGCACUUCGGUGGCUUUUAUGGCAUCAUCUUAUAUAGUGGCGGGUCGGAAGCAUGAGUGGGUUGUCGUUUCUAUUACUGUGCUUGGUGGGGCUAUAAUGUUGGUGGUGGUUGGAUUGAUUAUGUGCUAUGUGGGUGAAUGGAAGAUAAUGCGGUCAUUGGGAAGGUUGGAGAAGAUUGCAAAAAAAAAAAGAUGGACAAAUUCAAGCAAAAACUAGAAGCAUUCAAGUAUGAGAUGAUUUGAGUUAUGCCACUAUGUUCUAUGCCACUGUUUAUGCUACUGUUUCAGAAUAUGUUGCUUUGACUACUUGACUCCUUACUAUGUUAAUGUCUUAUUAACCUUUAACAUUAUGAUUAUGACUUCCUUAGUAUUGUUAUCAACUUCUAUAUCUUGAUUAAUACAUUAUCAUCUUUUAGAGAUU